rnacentral:rRNA from 1 species
UACGUAGGGUGCGAGCGUUGUCCGGAAUUACUGGGCGUAAAGAGCUCGUAGGUGGUCUGUCGCGUUGUUCGUGAAAACUCACAACUCAAUUGUGGGCGUGCGGGCGAUACGGGCAGACUGGAGUACUGCAGGGGAGACUGGAAUUCCUGGUGUAGCGGUGGAAUGCGCAGAUAUCAGGAGGAACACCGGUGGCGAAGGCGGGUCUCUGGGCAGUAACUGACGCUGAGGAGCGAAAGCGUGGGGAGCGAACAGG